rnacentral:rRNA from 1 species
UACGGGGGGAGCAAGCGUUGUUCGGAUUUACUGGGCGUAAAGGGUGCGUAGGUGGAUCGGUAAGUCCGUGGUGAAAUCCCCGAGCUUAACUCAGGAACUGCCGUGGAUACUAUCGAUCUUGAAUACUGUGGAGGUAAGCGGAAUAUGUCAUGUAGCGGUGAAAUGCUUAGAUAUGACAUAGAACACCGAUAGCGAAGGCAGCUUGCUACACAGUUAUUGACACUGAGGCACGGAAAGCGUGGGGAGCAAACAGG